rnacentral:rRNA from 1 species
AUUGAACGCUGGCGGCAGGCCUAACACAUGCAAGUCGAGCGGAGUGACGGACGAACGAGUAAUGCCUAGGAAUCUGCCUGGUAGUGGGGGAUAACGUCCGGCAACGGACGAUAAUACAGUAUCCUAUCAGAUGAGCCGAGGUCGGAUUGGCUAGUUGUGGGGGUAGCGGCCUACCAAGGCGACGAACCGUAACUGGUCUGGGAGGAUGAUCAGUCACACUGGAACUGAGACAGGGUCCAGACUCCUACGGGAGGCAGCAGUGGGGAAUAUUGGACAAUGGGCGAAAGCCUGAUCCAGCCAUGCCGCGUGUGUGAAGAAGGUCUUCGGAUUGUAAAGCACUUUAAGUUGGGAGGCGUUACCAACAGAAUAAGCACCGGCUAACUUCGUGCCAGCAGCCGCGGUAAUUC